rnacentral:lncRNA from 1 species
AAGGAAACGUAGCGGGACUGUGGCCCAGAGAGCGGAGUGGGGAUUCAUCUGCCCAAGCAAAGACCAGAGCAUUUCAAGGCUUACAGACCUCGCCCCUCAGCAAAGCCUCGUUCCAGGCCCAGGGCUUAGAACAGUCAACGCCAGACAUACGGAAGCACUUAAUAAAUUUUUGCUGAUGGAUGAGCAAAUCAACGGACGAGUGACGUGGAUGGAUAUGGGCCUUUGGAAAGUAAUGUCAGCAACAGACCAGCAGAGAGAGGGAAAAGGCUUUCAUAAGCAGAGGGAACCACGUGGGCAAAAGCAGAAGGGGCAGAAAUGACUUGGUUUGCUCGGCAGUUGGCAAGCUGGGACCAGAGUUCC